UCUCACGCUCCCAUUUCGCAGGCCCUAAAACUGGUUCUGCCUGCAGAAAUCACCUCUAAGUGUCGCUAAAUUAUGAAGCUCCUUGCUUCUCAUUUGAAGGCUAUCUGACAACAUUAGGCAAAUAGGACACUCUGCAAAGGUUUUUCUACUAAGUCACAAGGCAUAUGCAGAUUAGGAAAAGGUUCAUAACUCUUGAUCUCAAGUGGUAGUUCACUUUGGCAAGUGUUUGUAAAAAGUCUAGUCCGGCAAGAAGAGAGAAAAAAAUGGAAAACAACAUACCUACCCAAUCAAAAUGCUGCUCGCGGAACAAGAUGGAGCUUUUAAUCUAAUGUGCUGUGCAGCUCUCCUGGCUCAAGUCAACUGCUUCAUUGGGAUGAAGGAAGAUGAACUUCACCAUUACUCAGCCCCUUAUGGACAGAGAUAGAUGGCAACAAGGAAUAUAAGAAUUGUAAAUAUGAAAUGAGUCCUUGCUGUAAGAUUGAACUCAUUUCCUUUCUUGGCCAUGUUUCUCCUGACCCAGUCCAAGCUUCCUUUACACCUGCCCAGAGUGAUUUUCCUGCCAAACCCAAAAUAUGGAUACCAUAUGCAAAAGUUUUAUUCCUUAAAAGGCAGCUUGGAGACCAUUGUAUUUAUGCAAGAAUUUGUUUCACGCUUGUAUUAGGUCUUUGAAGUGUGUUAAUGUAAUGUUAUCUUUUUCUGCCAUGCAUACUAAAUGUAGACUCUGACUGCUUUUUCUUGGUGAUCUUUAAUGAAAUAGGGAAAAACAUCCAUAAGACUAACUUGCAAAAUGCAGCUAGUGUGUAACUAAGUGCUCUUGCUACUCCUACAUUUUAUACAGCAAGAUGAAGUUUCAAACCUUAGUUCUUGCUUUAUAUUCUUAGCGUGUUCAUAUGUGCAUAUGCAAACCAAGCUUCUGAAUGUACAUAGGCACUUCCUUGUGAGAAUAGUUAUUCUGACUUGAUGCACUUAGGUGAUUUUUUUGCUCAACUAUUUCAAGAUGCAUCUAAUGGAUCUGUCUGGGAAUGCAUCCUAGCACAUUGCAUAUAUCAAGAGACAGAUAAAAAAGCGAUGGAAAAAACACAGUCACUUGAUAAGGAACCUAAUAACUUCUCCCUGUCGGUGGUAUCUAUAAGAUACAGAUGUGGAAGAGAGCAAGAGGUCCUAAUUGGUUGUGGUAGAGGGACACUGACAGCAAGAAAAAUAAAAAGGUAAUUAUAAAUAAAAUAAUUUUUCCCCACCUGAAAGAAUGGCUGUACUACUGGUAAAUACAGAAUGACAAUAUCAGGUAAAAACUGAUUUCAUGCUUAUUUCCUGCUAUUACUUAAAAUAUAAUAUGGUCAUGUUUUCAGUAUCCCCCCUUUCUCCCAAGUGCAUGUUCAAUUUGAUAGAAUAUCUCCUGUUGGACUACACAUUUUCCUGUGUAUUCCCUCUACUACAUCAGCACCUCUCUGUGAUGAAGAUCAGCUGUACCACAUCCCAGAUGGUUACAGAGGAGCCAACAUCUUUCUGAAAACUCAUCUUUCUUCUUGGCACUUGAAGGUCAGGGGAUGGUUUUGAAAUUUCUUUCUCUCCCUCCAAUUAUACAUGACCAAUUCUUUUCCAGCCCUUGGAAAUCAUCAGUUCCUCUGGGCUGCAAGUCCAGACAGUUCUAGCGAAGAAAACCUCAAAGUAUAAAACUGCUGUGGACUGGGGGAUUUUUUUGUUUCGUGUUUCAGAGACUUCACUCAGCCUCAGGGUUUCACUGGGUUAUGUACUGUGAGCACAGAGCAAGGCAAGUCAGGAUGAGGAGCACUUGCAGAAGCAGCUGCAAGAUUCAAAAAAAUAAAAGAGAGAAGAGAGAGAAAAAAAAUCUGUGCUUCAGCGAAGAUUAAUCAAUCAGCAGGCAGCAAUCACUACUGUUAUAUAUAAAUGUAAUCUGUGUAAAAUGGAGCCAUGGCAAUUAAGUUUGCAACUUAUUUUUUUUAAUGUGGCUGGAGAAGACAUUUUAAAUCAUGGUAUUCCAAAAAAAGCCUAUCGUCCUUCUGUUUUAAACACAUUUUCUUUCUGAAACUUUUACUUCUUUUUCCAAAUAUGAAUUUACCUCCAUAUGUCAUAGCCAUUCCCAAGGAAAGAUGUCUGAUAGUAUUAAAACAUGCACAUGAAAAAUUGGGGCUGUAAUACUCAUUUGAAUGCCAUAAGGUUUAAUGCCCUCAGUCACCACGCAAAACUCUGAUGAUAUUUUGAGAUAUGUAUAUGGCAUUAGCCUGUGGCUUUGCCAGAAAUCCAAGGUGCAAACAUCAUUUUACUACACUGCCCCAGGAGCAGAGAGGCCAAAUUCUCAUCUGAUUUCCUUGUCAAGCUGCAUUGGUUGUGUUGGAUAUAUUAUGGGAUGCUGACAUGGAUGCAUUUUCUGGUGCACUUGCUGGAGAGGAGUAAAAGUCCCACCUUUGCCCCGCAUACUCACCCAUCUCUUUACUGUUCUUAUUUUUCUUACAACACAAGAAGGAAAUAUAGGGGAAAAAAUGAGUUUGUCAGAUUACUAUGAUAGCAGACAUCAUGGUUAGACACUAAAAUAGGCAUAGAAUGUGUCCUACUUAAUAACUAAAAAUGUUAUGAUACCUUUCUGCCUUGCCACUUCCAUCUUUCAUUUCACAAAAACCUUUACACAAUUACUGUGUUAUUUUCAGUUCUAAUCAGAACAAGUAGCAACAUUAAUGGUUAAAUGGUUAAUAUAAACCAGAAUGUGAUGUAAAAGAUUUUAUUCCUUCCAAGAUAACAUAAAAGCUAUAUUUAUAAUAAUGGGACACACACACACAUGACACCUACUUACAAACUCAUGUCUAAAUCCAAGAAAAUUCUUAAUCACUCUUCUUAAGGCAACUCCAGAUAUUCAUGUGUCAACCUCUAUUAUUCUGUUUCUUAUGCUGUAGGAAAAUUCCACUUACAUCAUUGACUUCCUGUCACUGUGGAAAACAGUCUCUGGUAAGGGCUCAGAGUUAGAAUUAGCCCCCAUCUGCCUUGUUCUUUAGUUCUCAACCAUGCUAGUUAAAUUACUCAGAAAUUAUUGGUGCAAUCUUUUUCUUCCUUUCUUUCCCAAGCAUUUCCUCUCUAUUAAACAAAAUCAAGUUUCUGCAAGCCAGAGCAAAAGUAGGAUUUAAUGUCACGGAUGCUGCUCAAAGCAAAAACCUCCCUCAAUCUAAAACCUAUACUGGCCAUAGGGAAUUCCAAACCUGUAGGGAAAAUCAUUGGUUUCUACCAUCGAGACGAACUGCAGUACUUAUUUGCAGAUCUUUAAGGUCCAACAAUACUGCCUACAUUGUCUGAGCAAUGGGAAAACCACUGAUUCUCACAACUUAAUCCAAAAUGCUGCCACUUAUUUCAGAUUAGGAUUGCUGCUGCACGUCAGAGUGCCUCCUGAUAGGAGCUGCCCUUUUUCCUGAUUGUCUUUUGACAGAGUUAUCAAGUACCAGAUACACUAUUGGGAAGUUUCUGAUGGUUAAGUAUGUGGCAAUGCCCUUUGAUGAACUAGCUAUGGGGGUGCGUGAUUUUUAAUUCUUGGAGGAUAUAGGUGGCCGAAACAUUGGUGUGACUGAAUUAAUGAGUUCGUUUAGAUCUUUUCCUCCAAUCCCUCUUCUCAGUCUCGCUGUGCAUGACAUGAAUUUGUUACUCAUAUCUGGUAAGCGUAAGAAACAGAGGAAUAGAGAUGAUCCAUAUGGUACUGGCAGCGAUUUCAUAUAUUUAUAGUAUUAUCAGGAAUAUUUUCUUAAGACAACAUAACUGAAAGGGCAGCUGAUCUUCUUACCCAUUUGAGUGUUGAGAAGAGAUUCAGAGCCUAAAAUGACAAACAUUAUCUUUCCUUCAGAGUAAUUGCUUUAUUGGUUUUACAUUCGUAGGCCUAAUGGUGUGUUUCAGGAAGGUAAUGGCUCCUUACCUUAGCUCUGGAGUAAAUAUUUGUGGGCUUUUUUAAUGAGCAUUUUGCAACUCCCUGUCCUCCUCCCUCCCUAUAAGUGAGGGCAUUUCCACAUGAGCAGGAGGAGGUGUCACACUCAUCCUUUCCCACCCCUCUUUUUGGGUUUCUUUUUCAUCUGAUGUAUUUGACAGAAGCUCAUUCCAAGGGCAGAGAUUUCCAGUCCAGGGUAUAUUCUUGUCUCCUCAAAUUAUUUUGCUGAGAGAAAUGCCCGACUGUGAUAUCAAAUGAGAAGAAAACAAAGUGGGAGAUUUGAUUAUCGAGCUGCGUAUUGAUGUGGCGUUGUGUGGGCAGAGUGGUCAUAAGAGCAAAAUUGCCCAACUACACCUGGGUGCUGAAAAGGCUUUUCAAAGCAUUAAGAUAUUUGCACAUGUUUCAUUCUCCAGACUGGCAUCUCAAUUCAAGCUGUUAGAUGCACCUUAUUAAUUGUGAAACUGGGAGGCUUUGCUAUUUGUUAGCUUACACAGGUAGUAAUUAGCCACUGGAGCGCAGACCUAUUUUUUAUAAUUAACUUUGUGACAAAAUUUUGCUGUUCAUUAUUUGUGGAAAACACUCACAAAACAAUCAACAUGCAUUUUGGUAGAAAUACCGUUGAACGCCCUUGUUUGCUUCAAGCUGUUCCCUUCUGAUAUGACCACAAAUCCCCCUACCACUUGCUAUCUCUUUCAUCUUAUCAUGCUUUAGACAGACUGCAUGAGGAUGGGAUGAUUAGUACUUCCCAAAUCUCAGUCAGUGCAAGUAAAUAACAAAUAACUUUAACAAUCUAAUAUUUUUGUUUGUAGCUAUACCUAGAGGCUUGGCAUGUAUCUAUCUACACUUCAGUAAUAUCAAUGACAACAUAGCAAGGCAAAUACAUUAAACCAGCUAUCUGGUUUAGCCCUACCUAGAUACAAAGUUUGUUAGUGGUAACAUAUAAUUCUUUGAUGCUCAGUGUACCCUUCUCUGUUAUGUUACCUUAGAGAAUGUGCAAUGUUUAUCACCUUCAGACAGUGAAUUAAGAAGAUGAUAUGUUGAUCACAGAUUGAUCCAGGACACUUUCCUUGUUUAAUUCCAGGGUAAAUUAAGUUUUGUUUGUAAGUCAAGGCUGAGGAGGAUGCAAUACGUGUCUUUUUUUUUUCCAUACUCUUCUAUUCUUACGGGAGAAGAACACACUAAAUUCAUCUUUCCAGAAUGCUCUCUAAAAACAAAGGAAGAAAUGGAGUUUGUUAGACAGUAUGAUCACAGACAAACAUUCAUGGGAAUUGUUUCCUUCCAGUGAACACCUUUCCACACCUUCAGACAUUGUGCAGAUAUUACAUGCAUUCAGGAAUACAAAAGAUACCAAAACCUAGCCCUCUCCCAAACAUUAUUCUUUUCAUUACCCUCUUGCCAGCUGGAAAUAGGUGAAUCACUAACUUUGAUGUCUAGGUGGUGAAAAAAUAUCCAUCUCUGCAAAUACGGGUAGGGACAGAUCAUCAUAGUGAUAGAGAGACAUUGACUCUUCACAUCACAUAAUCCCAUCCUCUGAAUGGCCUCUUUACUGCUAGCGAGCAAGAACUUUACUGGAAAAGGGACUUAGUGAUGAGCAAAACAGAAACACACUAAGGGAAACUCUAGUUGACCUAAAGGACAUUCUCAUUUUACCAACCCAAAGUGAGAUAACAAAAACCCCUCACGAGCAAUUGCACACCAGCUUUUUUUGUCCCAGGGCUUCCCAACCCACCUCUGUGUAGACAGGUGGGUGCUGGCAGCCAGGAGCAGGGUACGCACCCCAAAGAUUCACAACAGUGAACCUCCCUUCCCCUGUUUAUUCAGGAUCAUGUGCCACUGCUAAACAGAACUUGGAGAAAAACCUUAAAUAAAUAGAGAUCACUCUUGUAGUUUUAACAGCCCCAUCCACAACAAGGCUGAAGGUGUCCUUCACGGUUUCUCAAGAAACCUGAGGUGUACUUACUCUUACGCCACCUACAAAGGAAGAGCAGGUAGGUCCAUUCAGCACCUCACUCUGGCUCCUGCUUCUGUCCCCACCCUUCCAAUUACACCUGCUCAUCCCAGAGGUGGUCCCCAACCUCUCAUAUAGGAAAGCCACCAACAAGGAGAUUUGGAGCUGUUUCUGCAUAAGUCCCUACAAACUGUGGAUUAGCCAAGCACUCCUCUGGGUUUUCAGCUCUUUCUUUAUAGGGUCCUAUUUUCUCUUCUAUCCUAAGAGAAACUGAAAAAGGCAAAAUAUAGAUUUUUUGUUUGUUUCUUUUUCAGACAAAUAUAUCACCUCUUUAUGAAAUCAACCAAAAUCUUUAAUAGAUCUCAUCCCCAUUCAUUUAAACAAAAGGGAACUACCAGGUACAGCAUUACAAUUGUCUGUAAUUGUGAAAAAGCUUGCAUUAAUAUGACACAAAUUGGCCUCCAGGAGUCGCAGGGGCUAAACAUAAUGGUCCAUCAACUCUAAUUUUCUUAAAAAGUGAUUGGUAUGAGCUGUGUUAGAGGAGGGAGUUAAAAAUCCUGCAUCACACAACUAUUUGCUUGAACUGCUUUGCAAAAGGACAAUUUCUUCCUAGGUUUACACUCUAAAAUGCAACCAUUCCCUUCUGUACCUGUUAUCGUCUUGGGCAAGGGAAUGUGUUUUUUUUUGAGAAGUUCUGAUCUUUUUCUCAAUAGAAAUAAAAGUUAUUUUAAAAAUUAUUCUAAACUUCACAAAAUGUCUUGGGACAAUGAGUUCCACCAGCCUCUCAGUGAGCAUCUCAUUAAACAUGGCAAACGUAAAACCCAUCCAGUGAAUGCCACUUGCCAUUAAUUUUGUGUUUAUAAGAAGAGUAAGCCUAGCUUGCCUCCUUUAUUUCCUUGUUUAUUCUGCUCAGUUGUAUGUUUUCUUUUAGUCAUCUGCUGCAUAAAGUGAAUGGUCUGAUCUCAGUCACUCAGGGCAGCCAUCCCUAACCCUGCGUACCCAUGCAAGGGCCUGUGAGGGCUGACCUGAAGUCACUCAUCCUGUUAUAAGGUGUGUUCCCACCUUCUUGUGCCCCAAACAGGCAGCAAGUGCUUUAAAAUAAGAGUAUCACAUUUGCUUGCUUCAAAGGAACAGUUUCUUGGCUCUCUCAUUUCUAACUGUGCCUUCCAAGCCAGCCUGACAUUUGAAAAGAGAAGAAUUACUUCACUUUAAUUGCAGCUUUUUGAGGUGAGUAACAUAUAGAUUAUUUUGUAAAAUAGCACAGAAGACCAUAAAGCUUUAGAAAAAGGUUCCCUAUUUAUUGCAGAACACCUUGUUUUCCUUUUAGUGCAAAGACUAAAAGACACAAAGACCCUCUUUCCAUCUAGUCAGGUUACAGCAUCACAAUAUGGCUCUCUUUAUAGGGGUCAUUAGAUAUUUUCUUUGGGGAAGAGAGUUCUUUCUAUAGCUUUGGUGAAUUAACUCUUUUGUCUGUAACAGAAGGUGCUUCCCUCAAGCAAGCUUUUUUAGGCUCUACAAAGCAAUCUCAACUACCUGGAAGUUGCACUUUUAUUUUAUCCCCUUUGUUUGCAGAAAUACUUACUUUCUGAAAGAAAAACACUAUACAAACUUCAUGCUACCUCUUUCGUAGCUGUCUUUCUUUACAUACUGGCCUGUUGUUCAUAUGCCACUCAGCCUCUGAGGAAACUUGGAGUAACUACCACAAUAUUCAAACAGCGUAAAACUUGUCAGGAAGGCUGUCAAUGAAAACUCUCUGGUGCUUAUUACCCAAUCUGAAUUCUGCAGAGCAAAGGCAAUAUGUUUGAAUUUCUACCCACUAAAGCACCCAUUUUUAAAAGGAAUGCUUUUCAAAUUAAAAAAAAAAUAGUCUUCAUUUGGUGGAGUGGAGUAUUUAUUGGUUAGUAUCACAGUAUCACAGUAUGUUUGGGAUUGGAAGGGACCUCAAAAGAUCAUCUAGUCCAAUCCCCCUGCUGAAGCAGGAACACCUAGGUGAGGUCACACAGGAACAUGUCCAGGCGGGUUUUGAAUGUCUCCAGAGAAGGAGACUCCACAGCCUCCCUGGGCAGCCUGUUCCAGUGUCUGUCACCCUUACUGAGAAGAAGUUUUUUCUCAAAUUUAAGCGGAACCUCUUGUAUCAUACGGGUUUCUUUCUGAUUUGCAGCUUCUUUCCACAUCAGACAAGUUGCCACAACCUCAGAUUCCACCUAAGAACACAGCACUCUGCUGGCAGCAACCCGCAACUGCAGUUAAGCUCUAAAGCAGAUGUAUAGAUGGUUAGAAAAGCCCUUUGCUACAGCUUUUCAUUGGGGAAAUAUAUAAAAGUAAGUUACUAUUACAUAGCUCUUACUCGCUAGCUUUUCACAUCUGGAGAACUCCGCUACGAAAUAGCAUUGUUGCAUUGGAAAAUUCUGUUCUUCUGUGUUGAGAUUUGCGUAUCUGCUAACACUAACAGUAUAAAAAUUAAUACUCUACAUGCUUUUUAUCUAUUCAUUGCUGAAGCAAGUUGUGUCCCUGAAGCUAAAGCUCCCCAAUGAAGCAAUCCAUUUCCAAAAAGAGGAGAAACAACAAUAUGACUAAGCAGGCAGAGGAGCUAUUUUGAAAGAGCUGCAGUGACCUUGGACUAGGCAGCAGCUCCAGGAGGAAAACGACUGAGUCACCUUGCUCGCACAUUACUCUAGGACAAUUAACAGAUUUUACCAUAGCUCCAGAUGUUAUCUACAAGGGCAAUAAUAUCUCAUUGUAUUAUACCCAGAGGGGAUAAAACUAGCUCAUGCCAUCCAUAGGAAGAGAUCCAAGCUGUUAAAUUCUUUGCCUGCACUCUGCUGUUGCAGAAUUGGUGCACAAAGCUGGAUGGCCUCAGACGCCAAGGACACAGGAUGCCUGUUGGGAUGUGGGUGUGAGAGAGCAGUCACUCGGUCAUCCUGCUGGCCCCCCAUGACUGACCCUACCAAGGGCUUGAAGAGCAAGCCAAGCAGCACUGAGCAGGGCCAGCGAUGGGGAAAGGUCCCCGUUCAUGAGCCAAUUCACAUCCUGGAACUCUGGGGCAAGAGGACCAGGGCAGACACAGUGAUGCUUUUAAAGAGGAAACAGAAGGAUAAUUCCUAGGGAGAACCACCCCUUUUCCCCCCUUUUCUCCCCUCUGUCUGGUGGGAAACACAAAUAUUGUCAGUCCCUGCCUGUAGUACAGGGUGUUUCAAAAAGACGAACCCAAUUUUAAAUCACAGCACAAGGUGUUUUGCAUCCAUCCUUUUCAAACACCCUGUAUUUUACCUGCCAGCCUUUGCCAGUUCCAAAAGUGCCAAACGCUCUCCCUGCUGUGAAAGACUAGAUCAGGAUUGCAGAUGUCAGUCAAAAAUCUCCUAGCUCCUAUUAUAUCCAUUGCAUUGUUCAGUGGAUAGUAAAAAAAAGGGGUUAAAUAUUUCCAAAAGAAGAUUGGAAAGAAAAAUUGAAGGAGUUACCUAAUUCUUUACAUGUUAUCUUUAAGCAAAAGAUUUUUAGGUAUUGAAAGUGCCCUCCUAAAUGUUUUCCACAAAGCUAGAGUGAGGUGAUGGCAUCUUAGUAAAGGUUGAAAUAUGCAGCAUUUCAGUCAUAAAAACACAUCAGGAAAUCCCAGAUGAUCACGAUACACAACCACCAAUGGGCCUUCCAUCGACCACAGCACGUUGUGAUCAGGAUGAGCAGCCUGGAAGGGUGAGAUCUGCAACCUGGACAUGUGAUGUUUUUGCAGCUCCCCCCGCUACUUUUUCAGGUGACUUGGGAUUUACCUGGCUCUUUGUUAGACGUUUUUUUCCUUUAUUUAAAAUGUGGCUUUAGAAGCCAGUCACCAUUCUGAGUCCAUAUAAAAAUUAUUUUGGAAAUUACAAGAGCAAAUAUAAUUAGAAUCUACAGGAUCCUCCAUUUUGGCUGGCAACACUUAGCACAAUUUAAAUCUGUCCUUUCUCUUUCACUAUUUUUUUCAUAUAUAUAUCU